rnacentral:tRNA from 1 species
UUAAUCAAAACCAAUGUUUUGAGGUUUCCAACUGUUGAUUGGAUUAUAGGUCUUGACCUGAUUAGA